rnacentral:rRNA from 1 species
UACAGAGGUCUCAAGCGUUGUUCGGAUUCAUUGGGCGUAAAGGGCGCGUAGGCGGCGAGGUUAGUCAGGUGUGAAAUCUCGGGGCUCAACCCCGAAACUGCACUUGAUACUGCCUUGCUAGAGUACUGGAGAGGAGAUUGGAAUUUACGGUGUAGCAGUGAAAUGCGUAGAUAUCGUAAGGAAGACCAGUGGCGAAGGCGAAUCUCUGGACAGUUACUGACACUGAGGCACGAAGGCCAGGGGAGCAAACGGG